rnacentral:rRNA from 1 species
GCAGUCGAACGAGAAGGGGAGCAAUCCCUGAGUACAGUGGCGUACGGGUGAGUAACACGUGGGUAAUCUGCCCUUUGGUGGGGAAUAACCCUGGGAAACCGGGGCUAAUACCGCAUAAGUCCGAGAGGAGAAAGCAGCAAUGCGCCGAAGGAGGAGCCCGCGGCCGAUUAGCUAGUUGGUAGGGUAAAAGCCUACCAAGGCAAAGAUCGGUAGCCGGCCUGAGAGGGCACACGGCCACACUGGCACUGAAACACGGGCCAGACUCCUACGGGAGGCAGCAGUGGGGAAUCUUGCACAAUGGGGGAAACCCUGAUGCAGCGACGCCGCGUGAGCGAUGAAGCCCUUCGGGGUGUAAAGCUCUUUCGGCAGGGAAGAUGAUGACGGUACCUGCAGAAGCAGCUGCGGCUAACUACGUGCCAGCAGCCGCGGUAAUACGUAGGCAGCAAGCGUCGUUCGGAGUUACUGGGCGUAAAGGGUGUGUAGGCGGUUUGGUAAGUCUGGUGUGAAAUCUCCCG